GAUGAAUCUCAAUUCUCCUGGCACAGAGAAGAUGAUAAUUAUUGCUCACUUCACUGUAAGUGAACCCUCCUUGGAGCUUGCCUGCAGGAGGAAACACUGCAGGUUAUGUGACUUUUGCAGAAAAGCUGAGGGAAAGCACCAAGCUAUGCUGGUGAUUAAUCUGCAUCGGUGAGUGUAAGCUCGUCUCUGCCCAUCUCCUCCGGCAACACGUUGCAUUUCCGAGUUGUAUUCUGAAACCAUCACCAACCAUCAGCAUCUGUCCCUGCUGUGAUCCUGCUUGGGCUGGUGUCUCCCCAUGCUGCAGGUGGUAAACCACAGUGUCACAUGAUUCAACUAUGUCUGGGGCCAGUCAUUCAGAAAACCCACAUGGAGCAGAGAAGAGAAGGUGUUGCAGCUGCGAUCUGGAACUCCAUGCGGCAGUCUGUCCAGGAAGCUGCAGAAACCUCUAUCCCUCCUGGAGCCACCCAGCCCAGCCCCAGAUAAAAUGUCUUGGAGAGAGUGCCCCCCACUGCCUCCCUGGCCUGCCUGCAUCUUGUUGAUGAGGAAGUUGAUGUCCCUGACGAUCCCCGUCGAGGUUGGACACCCCCGGCCUGCCACAGAGCACAGGAGCAGGGCAGAGGAUCAAAUUCGCCACCUAAUGCAAAUGCAUCUUAGAAGUAUCCUUUUGUGCAAGUGUCUGAAAGAAGAAAUCUUCAACUAUAAGCACAAGAAUGUGGCAACCAUGCUUGUUAAAAUUGGCCUUGAGGACUUCUCAGUAUCUUUGGAGACCUUGUAUAACACUGCAUGACAUCAGAUGGAGAAACUGAGGCAUAGAGAGGCAAGUAAUUUGCCCAAAACACAAAGCCAGGAAGCCGCAGAAUUUGUAUUCAAGCCCAGAAGUCUGUCUCCUGAUUUCAGCUGUUAAUCCUCCUGAGAUCCUGUUUUUCUGCAGAUCUUUCAUCUGCCUCUCCCACCAGGAUAUAUACUCCAGGGCCUUAUGGGUCCAGUUCACCCCUAUAUUCUCAGCACUUAAGAAGGUGCCUGGGGAAGUGUGGGCACUCACUAAAUGCUUGUUGAAUUAAAACACUAAUUUGAAAAGUA